AGGCAGCUCAGCUCUGUGUGUUUCAGCUUCUCUUCCCCUGGUACACUGAGCUCUGGCCCCAGGCUCAGGCUGCCUGUGCAUGACAGGUAUAAGGCCAGCAUUCUGUGAUUCACCUGGAAUACACAAGUCCCCACUUCUUCCUCAUUUCUGUGCCUCUCUGGAGGGAACCCUGGCAGCCCUUGCCUCAGUUUCUGGGACAAUCCAGGCAGCUCUCCAUCACUGGAGAACACCAGAUGGAAUGGAUGGAGGCAAUUUUGCAGAAAGUGCUUUAAGAGCAGCUUCCUCGGUGGUCUUUCCAGCUGGAAGCAGAGCGUCCAGAAAGCACCGCAUUCUCAGCCCUGUUUCAUCGCCUCAAGAGCUACAGAUGGCUUCCCCAAGCACCUGAAGUCGGUGCUGCUUGCCUGGAUUGGAUAAGCUGCAAGCUGCAGAAACUCUUUUGUCUUUUCACAGUGCAACUCAGACUCCAGUUUCUUUCUGCCUUGAGAGUGAAAGAAAGGAGAGGAUACAAAGUAGGAAAGAGCCAGAAGGCGGAGAAAUUAAUGUUUAAUGCUUGAUACUCCCCGGGCCUGGCCAGCUGCUCAAAAAAGUUGGAUUCUGAUUAGUUCCCAUCAGCAGAAGUAGCCGAUAAAGGAUGGAAAAGCUGAGGUUCAAAAAGCAUUUGUAGAUCCUGGCUGAUGGAUAUAAUGAAGGCGUGAACUAUAAUAGUUGAACAAGGAAAUGAACUUGAACCAAAUUGUGAAGUUCUCUGCAAUGAAUUAUUAAAGCUCUUCUGAAAGGACUUGGAGUGAGCUGCCAGGCUGCAAGGGAUUGAAUCAAAAACCCCCUAACAGUUAAAGUGUCCAUUAGCUUCUCUACACUUAGCAUCCGUCAGAGAAAAGAUGGGCUGGGAGCCCCGGGCGAAUUUCUAACUAGCCUAAUGAGGAGAGAGAUUCUGGGAGCAAAAAAAGUUCAUUUGCUGAAUUUCCAGCAAGAAGUCACUUCAAUAUUGCUUCUAGGAAACACUGACAGGCUUUGUUGGUAAGAAAUCAUUAUGCUGAGAGAGAAAUGGGAUAUUGUUAUAUGAGGUUUUUAAAGAAAAUUCAUUUUGAUAGAUGUCUAACUGUGCAUUCAAUUAAAUUUCCUUCUCUUUCUUAAAAAUAGAUGUCAGGUAAUUGUACUCAAGUUCUG